rnacentral:rRNA from 1 species
UGGGGAAUCUUGCACAAUGGGGGCAACCCUGAUGCAGCGACGCCGCGUGAGCGAUGAAGCCCUUCGGGGCGUAAAGCUCUUUCGACCGGAACGAUAAUGACGGUACCGGGAGAAGAAGCUGCGGCUAACUACGUGCCAGCAGCCGCGGUAAUACGUAGGCAGCAAGCGUUGUUCGGAGUUACUGGGCGUAAAGAGUGCGUAGGCGGUUUUCUAAGUUCGGUGUGAAAUCUCCCGGCUUAACUGGGAGGGUGCGCCGAAGACUGGGAAGUUGGAGUGUGGGAAGGGCAGGCGGAAUUCCUGGUGUAGCGGUGAAAUGCGUAGAUAUCAGGAGGAACACCGGCGGUGUAGACGGCUUGCUAGACCAUAACUGACGCUGAGGCACGAAAGCGUGGGUAGCAAACA